UUUUCUAUCAAUUUGAAUGUUAAAUGAUGAGAUCGCAGGCGUGAGCUCUUCUCCCUCACCAAAUUGGAUUAAGAAAUUAAUUAGAUAUUAAUAAACUAAGGAUUUUUUAGUCUGAACAAAUUAAAAUUCGUGAAAAAAGAAACUCUUUCUCUCUCUCCUGGCUUCUCUUCUCCCCAGAUCGAACCAUCAGCCCCCGGAUCUUCUCCGCCUUCACCUUCUUCGACACACUGCAGCCACCACGAAGCCCCGAGCUUCAGCAAUCCCCGAGUUCAACAACACAUUAAAGCCCCACGAAACCGCGGAAUCAACGACAUUGCUGCAGCCCCGUGUUUUUCUUCUGCAAUCUGAGCCUCUACAAUCAGCAGCCACGAUGUCGUUCGUAAUUUCUCCCGCGAGCCCCCACCAAGACGUCGUCCACAAUUGCUGCUGCUACAACCCGUAUGAACACGACAUUCACGGUCUUUGGAUCUGAAGUCGCCGGCGAGAAAACUUUCGUUGUCCAACAGCCGAACAUGAAUACGAACCCAGAAAAAGCAAUUGUUCAUAUGUUAGGAACAUCCCAGAAAAAUUAGUCAGGAGUAUAUGGUAUGUUUGAAAUUGCGGAAAGAGAUUGGAAAAUUUGGGAACGCCAACAUUUGCUGCGACAUCAGUGACAGUGGAGACGAAGAGAAAGAAGAAGAAGAGAAGAAGGAGCAGGCGCGGGAGGCGGAGUGGUCGAAGUUGGGGAUCGAGGUGGUGUGGUCGAAGCUGGGGAUUACAUUUGCCUAGGGAUGGGUUUUGGGCUGCAGGUGUUGCCCAAUCACGACCAGAACGAGAAGAUAAGAGAAGACGGAGAGAGCUUUUUUGUUUUAAUUAAUUUUAAUUUUGUUUAGACAAAAAACUGCUAAUUUAUCAAUAUUUAAUUAAUUUUUAACUUA